rnacentral:pre_miRNA from 1 species
ACAGGAUGAUAAUGAUGAUUAUGAUGUUGAUGAUGAUGAUGGUCAUCAUCAUCAUCAUUAUCAUCAUCAUGAUGA